GCGGAAGUAGCUCAGCUGGUAGAGCGCAACCUUGCCAAGGUUGAGGGCGCGGGUUCGAGCCCCGUUUUCCGCUCCA
rnacentral:tRNA from 1 species